GACGAACGCUGGCGGCGUGCCUAAUACAUGCAAGUCGAGCGGAGAGGCGGACGGGUGAGUAAUGCCUAGGAAUCUGCCUGGUAGUGGGGGAUAACGUACGGAGACGGGCGCUAAUACCGCAUACUUUCAGAUGAGCAUAGGUCGAAUUAGCUGGUGGGUGGGGUAAAGGCUUACCAAGGCGACGAACACUAACUAGUCUGAGAGGAUGAUCAGGCACACUGGAACUGAGACACGGCCCAGACUCCUACGGGAGGCAGCAGUAGGGAAUAUUGGACAAUGGGCGAAAGCCUGACCCAGCAAUGCCGCGUGUGUGAAGAAGGUUUUCGGAUUGUAAAGCACUUUAAUUUGGGAGGCGUUACCAACAGAAUAAGCACCGGCUAACUUCGUGCCAGCAGCCGCGGUAAUUC
rnacentral:rRNA from 1 species